GUCCGUCAUUUUGGAUGAACGUGUUGUUCUUGCCUUCGACGCCUCCAAGCUUGCGUGAAAACUUCCGUUUAACGACGAAUUUUCGGUGUUUUCCCUCUUCAUUGGAAUAUCACUAACGAAUAUUUAAUUUAAGAUCAUGGAGCAAAUGGAAGACCCCGCUGGAUCGGACAAUAAACGAGCUAUAGAGCGGAAAAGUAGUUGAAGAUGCUAAGCGAGGACUUCAGAGAGGACAAGCGUUCAGCCGAAGCACAGUUCAUCACUUCGACACAGGAGCUGGUUCACCCCUGAUACUCCCAGUUUAAGAUCAGCAGUGUCAUCUCAAACAUUUCAAUGGGCGGUAAUGAAGGGGGUGGACGGGGAGGUGAAAGGUGGAGCCUCUUCGGGGUGCGCCCCGUUGUGCAGAAAUCCCCCACUGACCCAGGAUCAGAUACCAACACACCUG